rnacentral:lncRNA from 1 species
GGAAGUGAACAGGGCACUGUGCCCAUGGUAGGGGCAGUGUCAGAGCUUAGCUUGCAGGUUAGGCCACACAGUUUGAGCUGCUUGUGACUCCAGAACCCCACCAGCUGGAGAGCAGAAAGUUCUCAGAAACAGCUUGGCUAUCCCAGAGCCCAAUUCAAUAGUGUCCUGUAGUUAUCCAACUUCUUGGCCUUCAGAGUAGAACACCCAGUUCUUCCCCUCAGUCAGCCUGCUACCCUGGAGGCACAGCCAGCUUUUGAAUUAGCCCAAGGGCCUAGGUUCUGUUCCCUCAAAGAAGCAGGAGGAACUAAUAUGUCUCCCCACCCCCAGUCCCUAAUUUAGGAGGCAACAGCUCAUGAAGCAGGAGUUUUAUUCAAGAGUAUAUGUUUUAUAAAGGAGUCCAAGAUUCAGUCCAGUAAAACAAUCAGCCUAUGAACAGACAACAAGGCAAGACAUGAGCUGCAAAUGGAGACAGCUUAAGACUAGAAGGGAGAGCCUGAAGGCUGUAAAGGGAAGUGGAGAAAAGGUACAGAAGAGGCUCCUUGGUCACAAAGCUAACACAGAAUCCCUGCCCACUGUAUAGCCUGGAUGGGGAACAGGAAGACAGAAAGCCUCCAGUCACCUACCUGCUGUUAUCCAGAAGUUGAUUAUUUAGUUGGGUUUUGUGGUGGUAGAAAUUGAGUGCAGGGCCUAGGCAAGUGCUCGAACAUUGAGCUAUAUCCCAGCCCUCUACUUUGAGAUUGUUAGAUAUGGUGCAUGCCUUUAAUCCCAGCACUUGAGAGGCAGAGGCAGGCAGAUCUCUGUGAGUUGGAGGCCAGCCUGGUCAAGAAAGUUUCAGGAAAGCCAAGGCAACACCGAGAAACCCUGUCUUGAAAUACCAUAAACAAUCAAAAUAAAAACUAAAAAUAGAAGACUUUGAACUUGGGGUUGGGGAUUUAGCUCAGUGGUAGAGCGCUUGCCUAGGAAGCUCAAGGCCCUGGGUUCGGUCCCCAGCUCCGAAAAAAACCAAAAAAACAAAAAAAAAAACAAAAAA